AGCUCCAAUAGCGUAUAUUAAAGUUGCUGCAGUUAAAAAGCUCGUAGUUGCAUUUCCGAGGCAAGGGAUUAGUCCGACCUUUGGUGGGUAUUUAAUCCUCUUGCCUCGUCCUUGAGUGGUGCUUCUUGGUAUUAAGUUAUCGAGGAGAUAGCCGCUCAUCGUUUACUGUGAGAAAAUUAGAGUGUUCAAAGCAGGCUUAUGCCGUUGAAUAUAUUAGCAUGGAAUAAUAAGAUAGGACCUCGGUACUAUUUUGUUGGUUUGAGAACCAAGGUAAUGAUUAAUAGGGACAGUUGGGAGUAUUCGUAUUCAGUUGUCAGAGGUGAAAUUCUUAGAUUUACGGAAGACGAACUACUGCGAAAGCAUUUACCAAGGAUGUUUUCA
rnacentral:rRNA from 1 species